rnacentral:rRNA from 1 species
UACAGAGGUCCCAAGCGUUGUUCGGAUUCACUGGGCGUAAAGGGUGCGUAGGUGGCGGGGUAAGUCGGAUGUGAAAUCUCCGAGCUCAACUCGGAAAUGGCAUUGGAAACUACCUUGCUCGAGGGUUGGAGGGGGGACUGGAAUGCUUGGUGUAGCAGUGAAAUGCGUAGAUAUCAAGCGGAACACCAGUGGCGAAGGCGGGUCCCUGGACAACACCUGACACUGAGGCACGAAAGCUAGGGGAGCAAACAGG